rnacentral:rRNA from 1 species
AGUCGAACGGUGACGGCAGAGCUUGCUCUGCCUGAUCAGUGGCGAACGGGUGAGUAACACGUGAGUAACCUGCCCCUCACUUCGGGAUAACCUCGGGAAAUCGUGGCUAAUACCGGAUACGAGACCUGACUGCAUGGUCGGGUCUGGAAAGAUUUAUCGGUGGGGGAUGGACUCGCGGCCUAUCAGCUUGUUGGUGAGGUAACGGCUCACCAAGGCGACGACGGGUAGCCGGCCUGAGAGGGCGACCGGCCACACUGGGACUGAGAUACGGCCCAGACUCCUACGGGAGGCAGCAGUGGGGAAUAUUGCACAAUGGGCGAAAGCCUGAUGCAGCGACGCCGCGUGAGGGAUGAAGGCCUUCGGGUUGUAAACCUCUUUCAGCAGGGAAGAAGCGAAAGUGACGGUACCUGCAGAAGAAGCGCCGGCUAACUACGUGCCAGCAGCCGCGGUAAUACGUAGGGCGCAAGCGUUGUCCGGAAUUAUUGGGCGUAAAGAGCUCGUAGGCGGUUUGUCGCGUCUGGUGUGAAAACCCAAGGCUCAACCUUGGGCUUGCAUCGGGUACGGGCAGACUAGAGUGCGGUAGGGGUGACUGGAAUUCCUGGUGUAGCGGUGGAAUGCGCAGAUAUCAGGAGGAACACCGAUGGCGAAGGCAGGUCACUGGGCCGCAACUGACGCUGAGGAGCGAAAGCAUGGGUAGCGAACAGGAUUAGAUACCCUGGUAGUCCAUGCCGUAAACGUUGGGCACUAGGUGUGGGGCUCAUUCCACGAGUUCCGUGCCGCAGCAAACGCAUUAAGUGCCCCGCCUGGGGAGUACGGCCGCAAGGCUAAAACUCAAAGGAAUUGACGGGGGCCCGCACAAGCGGCGGAGCAUGCGGAUUAAUUCGAUGCAACGCGAAGAACCUUACCAAGGCUUGACAUACACCGGAAUCAUGCA